GAUGAACGCUGGCGGCGUGCCUAGUACAUGCAAGUCGAGCGAACCACUUCGGUGGUGAGCGGCGAACGGGUGAGUAACACGUAGGUGAUCUGCCCAUCAGGCGGGGACAACGAUUGGAAACGAUCGCUAAUACCGGAUAGGACGAAAGUUUAAAGGUGCUUCUGGCACCGCUGAUGGAUGAGCCUGCGGCGCAUUAGCUAGUUGGUAGGGUAAAGGCCUACCAAGGCGACGAUGCGUAGCCGACCUGAGAGGGUGAACGGCCACACUGGGACUGAGACACGGCCCAGACUACUACGGGAGGGAGCAGUAGGGAAUCUUCGGCAAUGGGCGAAAGCCUGACCGAGCAACGCCGCGUGAAUGAUGAAGGCCUUCGGGUUGUAAAAUUCUGUUAUAAGGGAAGAACGACUUUAGUAGGAAAUGGCUAGAGUGUGACGGUACCUUAUGAGAAAGCCACGGCUAACUACGUGCCAGCCGCCGCUGUAA
rnacentral:rRNA from 1 species